UUAAAUUGAAGAGUUUGAUCAUGGCUCAGAUUGAACGCUGGCGGCAGGCCUAACACAUGCAAGUCGAACGGUAACAGAAAGAAGCUUGCUUCUUUGCUGACGAGUGGCGGACGGGUGAGUAAUGUCUGGGAAACUGCCUGAUGGAGGGGGAUAACUACUGGAAACGGUAGCUAAUACCGCAUAACGUCGCAAGACCAAAGAGGGGGACCUUCGGGCCUCUUGCCAUCGGAUGUGCCCAGAUGGGAUUAGCUUGUUGGUGGGGUAACGGCUCACCAAGGCGACGAUCCCUAGCUGGUCUGAGAGGAU
rnacentral:rRNA from 1 species